rnacentral:misc_RNA from 1 species
CAUCUCUCAUCUUCUCAGCCUGGAAAAAAAUCAGCCGCCGCCCCUGCGCAGAUUUUUUUCAGCGUCUAUAUCACUUUGCGCGUGUCCAAGCCACCGUUCAGCUCGAGAAGAAAAUCCUACCGUGCUCGAUUCUUCCCUGCGCGUCUCCUCCGCUUGGAGCUUCCUGCGCUCCCUGCGUCCCUCUGUGGCCGGAACUCCCUUCAUGGCCGAAGCUCGGACGGCGCUCGGUCCUGCCACUCCCAUGGCCGCGCCCCCCCUGCUUCUCUCUCUCAGCGCUCGCGGCUCUUUCUCUCCUGCUCCGUCCAUGGCUGUUUGCCUCUGCUCGCGGCGUCCCUGCUCGCCCAGCCGAGCUCUCCACUGCCCAGCUCCAUUUCACGGCGCUCUAUCUGCUCGGUUCCAUGGCCGCGGUACUCCAGCUCGCCGUGCCCUGCUCCCUCUGUUUCCAUGGCAGGCUCUCUGCUCGUCGCGGGCGCCUGGACGCUCUCCCUGGUGGCCGCCUGUUCUCCCUGUGUACCGCGCGAGUUCUUUGGUAGACGCGCGCUGACCGUGCUCCACUUCGCCCAUCGCGACGCUCCAGUUCCAACUCGCUGCGCGCCGAGCUCUUCGCUGUUGUCCGUGCGCGCGCGCGCCGCUCGUCGACCUCUCUGCUCACGCGUAGCUCGCUCUUUUCUUAUUUGCCGCGCGCACGAAUUUCAUCUGCUCCCACAGCAUGUCGAGUUCCUGCACCAUCAUCGCUUCUGUCACAAGCUUGUUGACCACAGUUAUCUUAACCGUGUCAGCUCGCGACUGUGGUCAUGUUCAUCGAAUUCGCCAACACUUUGUUGCCGAUUCGACUGUCGUCGUUUCGCGUAUUGUCGAGCCCAUCGUUUUCCCUGUCUUGUACUCGCAUGGUUUUCUGCUCGUCGGUGCGCCCUCUUGGCUCGCUCGGCUUUAAUUCCCAAUCGCGUCGUCUAUUCCACCGGUUAGCGUCGUCGCGUCGCGGGUGCAGCUCUAUAUACAUCACCCUCCUGUGUCGUCGUCGUUCCGCGCGUCAGCAAAAAAACCAAGAAUCGGGUGAAGACGAAGCUAGCAGCGCGAUAUUCCCUAAGCGCUCGACAAAUUGCCUGAAUCGGAAAAGCGCUACCGAUCUCGUGGAUUCGUGUCAGCUGUGGAAACGGUACGUGAAUUAACCACGCGAUGCGGAGAACCAGAACUGAGUCAACCACAAGAUGGUGCUGAUGAACGAAACUGGAGAUGAACAGACGAAGCGAGUAUCGGAAUAAAGGCUGAUCGUCAAGUGGACGUCAUCUAACAACACUAACCUAGUGUUACUCAGGUUAUAGUCUUGUGCUGUUGUUGAUGGUGUUAAGUGCCGGUGGGCUCGGCCUUCUUAUAUAAGUAUACCCCGUCUUUAUCUUCUUAUUGAGGAUGGUCACUUGAGCUAGCAUAUAUUUCAAACUUAUACUUUUGUAAUCACUCCGAUAAAAUAAUGUAAAAUUUUUGUAACCUGUAAAAUUUGGUAAUAAGAUUUCCGCUGCAA